rnacentral:rRNA from 1 species
GCUUGUCUCAAAGAUUAAGCCAUGCAUGUCUAAGUAUAAAUGGUAUACAGUGAAACUGCGAAUGGCUCAUUAAAACAGUUAUAGUUUAUUUGGUAUUCGAAUUUACAUGGAUAACCGUGGUAAUUCUAGAGCUAAUACAUGACUAAAAGGGCUAGCCCUGCAUUUAUUAGAUACAACCAACCCUUCGGGUUUUGGCGAAUCAUAAUAACUGAGCGGACCGUAUUCGUACGGCGUUUCUUAUUAAUUUCUGCCCUAUCAGCUUUCGAUGGUAGGGUAUUGGCCUACCAUGGCGUUAACGGGUAACGGAGAAUUAGGGUUCGAUUCCGGAGAGGGAGCCUGAGAGAUGGCUACCACAUCCAAGGAAGGCAGCAGG